UACGUAGGGUGCAAGCGUUGUCCGGAAUUAUUGGGCGUAAAGGGCUCGUAGGCGGUCCAUCGCGUCGGGAGUGAAAAGCUGGGGCUCAACCCCAGUCCUGCUUUCGAUACGGGUGGACUAGAGGUAGGCAGGGGAGAACGGAAUUCCUGGUGUAGCGGUGAAAUGCGCAGAUAUCAGGAGGAACACCGGUGGCGAGGGCGGUUCUCUGGGCCUUACCUGACGCUGAGGAGCGAAAGCGUGGGGAGCAAACAGG
rnacentral:rRNA from 1 species